CGGGUGAGUAACACGUGGGUGACCUGCCCUUAGCUCUGGGAUAAGCCUGGGAAACUGGGUCUAAUACCGGAUAUGACUCCAUGACGCAUGUUGUGGGGUGGAAAGCCUUGUGCGGCUGGGAUGGGCCCGCGGCCUAUCAGCUUGUUGGUGGGGUGAUGGCCUACCAAGGCGACGACGGGUAGCCGGCCUGAGAGGGCGACCGGCACACUGGGACUGAGACACGGCCCAG
rnacentral:rRNA from 1 species